GGCGAAGUAGCCAAGUGGUAAGGCGUGGGUCUGCAACACCCUGAUCACCGGUUCAAAUCCGGUCUUCGCCU
rfam:Oribacterium sp. ACB1 genomic scaffold acqcx-supercont2.1, whole genome shotgun sequence.